UACGAAUCGUCCAAACGUUGUUCGGAUUCACUGGGUUUAAAGGGCGCGUAGGCGGUGCGUUAAGUCGGCGGUGAAAUACUUCGGCUCAACCGGAGAAUUGCCGCUGAAACUGGCGUGCUCGAGGGAGGUAGAGGUGCGUGGAACUUCCGGUGGAGCGGUGAAAUGCGUAGAUAUCGUAAGGAAGACCAGUGGCGAAGGCGGGUCUCUGGACAGUUCCUGACGCUGAGGCACGAAGGUCAGGGGAGCCAACGGG
rnacentral:rRNA from 1 species